rnacentral:rRNA from 1 species
AACGAACGCUGGCGGCAUGCCUAACACAUGCAAGUCGAACGAGACCUUCGGGUCUAGUGGCGCACGGGUGCGUAACGCGUGGGAACCUGCCCUUAGGUUCGGAAUAACUCCCCGAAAGGGGUGCUAAUACCGGAUAAUGUCUUCGGGCCAAAGAUUUAUCGCCUUUGGAUGGGCCCGCGUUGGAUUAGCUAGUUGGUAGGGUAAAAGCCUACCAAGGCGACGAUCCAUAGCUGGUCUGAGAGGAUGAUCAGCCACACUGGGACUGAGACACGGCCCAGACUCCUACGGGAGGCAGCAGUGGGGAAUAUUGGACAAUGGGCGAAAGCCUGAUCCAGCAAUGUCGCGUGAGUGAUGAAGGCCUUAGGGUUGUAAAGCUCUUUUACCCGGGAUGAUAAUGACAGUACCGGGAGAAUAAGCUCCGGCUAACUCCGUG